GGCUUGUUGGUGUAAGGGUAUGAUUCUCACUGUUAGUGCCAGAGGACCCGGAUUCAAAUCCCGGAUGAGCCC